AAUACUGGAUAUGUGACGUGACCGCAUGGUCUGCGUCUGGAAAGAAUUUCGGUUGGGGAUGGGCUCGCGGCCUAUCAGCUUGUUGGUGAGGUAAUGGCUCACCAAGGCGUCGACGGGUAGCCGGCCUGAGAGGGUGACCGGCCACACUGGGACUGAGACACGGCCCAGACUCCUACGGGAGGCAGCAGUGGGGAAUAUUGCACAAUGGGCGCAAGCCUGAUGCAGCAACGCCGCGUGAGGGACGACGGCCUUCGGGUUGUAAACCUCUUUUAGCAGGGAAGAAGCGAAAGUGACGGUACCUGCAGAAAAAGCGCCGGCUAACUACGUGCCAGCAGCCGCGGUAAUACGUAGGGCGCAAGCGUUAUCCGGAAUUAUUGGGCGUAAAGAGCUCGUAGGCGGUUUGUCGCGUCUGCUGUGAAAUCCGGAGGCUCAACCUCCGGCCUGCAGUGGGUACGGGCAGACUAGAGUGCGGUAGGGGAGAUUGGAAUUCCUGGUGUAGCGGUGGAAUGCGCAGAUAUCAGGAGGAACACCGAUGGCGAAGGCAGAUCUCUGGGCCGUAACUGACGCUGA
rnacentral:rRNA from 1 species